CUGAGCUCCAAGGUGGUCCAUACCUGUCAGUGGUGAUUCUGGGGUGCUGGCAUGACCCAGAAUGAUGCUCUACAAACUUGGGGGCAGGAGGAUGGUAAAGGCAGCUUACUGCCCCAGAAGGGUGGAUGCUCCCUCCUGGCUCAUUCACAAAACAGCUUUAUGGACAUUUACAAUGCAGGACCUCGCAUCUGUGCUCAGAAGUCAGGAAACAGGAAGCCUCAGCUUUAUCAGAUCCCUGAGUGGCCAAGCAGUGCUGUUCCAUCCUCAGCACUCGAGGAGGACCUGUGCCCUGUGAGCCUCUCGGCUUCACAGUGUCUCAGUUUCCACAGCUCAGAGACCAGGAUAUUUGAAGAUGUGACAACGUCGAAUGUUGAUAUCAGCUAGGCAUCUCUGGAGCAAUCUACACUGGCUAAUGAGCACCCCCGCCAGGUUCGCCACCACAAGGGAGGGAAGGGAGAGCUGGAAGGCCACAGCCUGUCCCACCCGGGGCUCCAUCCCUUCCCUGCACCUCCCUUUGUAUGGAGGGGAUAACUGACGACUACGUGGACCGAGAGAGCAGGACAGGAAGCCCGAAGGCAGAGGUUCAGCUUACUACCCAGAGCAGGCGGCCUCUGCUUCUCCAUGUCGGGGGCUUCUUGGCUCACACAAGGGUCACACAGAGGGUGUCGCAGGGCCACCACCGGGACCCUCCAGGGCUGGCCCUAGGGGAGGCUGCCGCUGUGGAUGCACUGGAGCAGGUGCGUGGGGCAGGGAGGGAGUGGGCUGCAGAAUGACCUCGGAGCCCCAAGAUCUGGCCACAUCCAGCACUGGGCCUUCACAUGGACCUGAUGUGAAACAGAGUCCCUGCAGAAGUGAUGAAGCUGAGGAUGUUAAGGGUGAGAGCACCCCAGUGACCAGGGACCGGUGUCCCUACAAGAGCCGGAAAAGGAGAAGACAGAGCCAGUGAGGUGGGAGCUGGGAAAUACAGACUGCUAGAAACCCAACAUUUAAAAUUGCACUUUCAAGGAAACUGAAGCACCAGGACACAAAGUUACUUGUGCCUUUUUCCCUUCCAGGAAACUCACUGAAAAAAACAAAUCCUAAGGCUUUAAAGAUACGAUGCUCCUGUAACUUCUGUAACUUGGGCUGGGGCCACACAGCCACCCUCGUCCCCAUCGGGCCACAUCAGAGGAGAAAUCAUAAACCCUGAGCGAGAUAAGCGGAUCCCACGGCCACGGGGGUCGGUGACAGACACAGACAGCUGUCACCACUCCUAAAUCCAUCACCCCAGAAACCCUCGGGCACGGGGACCACGGCUGCAGGGAAAAUUUGAGAGCAGAUUACAGGGCUUCGGGGCGGAUAACUUUGAGACGGCACUGCGAGUUCCAGAAAACACCCGGGAAGCAAAGACAGCACAGGAAUUAACAGCCAACAUCCAGACUGAGGUCUCUGGCCCCUCCAGCCUGAAGGAAUCCGCUGCCAAUCUCCCCGUGUUGGCAGGAAAAGCCCAGCACCCUGGGGGCACAGCACUACCUCUGUUAAAAGAACUGAUGAAAUUAAAUGCAUAAUCG